rnacentral:lncRNA from 1 species
UUUCUCCAGACAUAAGUUGUCCACAGUUCAUUGGGUUCCUAAAAUAAUCCAUGUUAGCUUUUCUUGUCAGGGAUCUGUGCCAAUAUUCAGAAGACCAAGGCAAUUUGAUGACCUACAUGACAUUAUUAAGCCUGUUUCCCCCUUUGCUGCUAAUAUCAUUACCUAAACUAGGUUCUCCAAAGUGAUGUACCCAGUGCAUGUGGGGACUUGUUCUCUGUAAACACAGAUGUUGCAGAAGAAGAUCAGAAAUGUAGCAGCCAUAUGGUAGGUCAGAGGUGGAUUUCCAUUUCUGUUUUGUUCAUUAACCUUUUCAGGAUCUCUGCCAAAAGGAGCACGGGGUGUUUUGACCCCUACAUUGAUGGUCUUCAUGAACCCGCUUGUGUGAGUAGGUUUUCUGGUCCAUCAUCACUGUUUUGAAUCAAAGCAGGAAUUCCACCUCAGCACGGUAAGAUGCUGCAAAAGGCUUCUCAUUCACGCUCAAUUGAUUUUGCAGCAAUCUUAAAUGUUUCCCAGACCAUGUAUUUAUGACCUGCUUCAUUCUGGAUGAUACUUGAAAGCUCUAAAACAUGAUGGAUAUGAUCUAAGCUAACACAGGUGUUUCUUGGAUUUGCCUCAUCUGUCACGAAUCACCAUCGAGUCCAACUGGAAAUUUUCCAUUCAGUAGUUGGGCACUGCCUUGCACAUUGGUAUUCUACGCCUGGUCCCACCAUAUCCAGUCCACCCCCAGUGUCACAGUUGAGUCUGGUCAUUGCUUGACAGCUGGGUCAUCAGAUCCACAUCGUUGUCCGCGCAGGGUGGAUUUAUUGUACAGAGUGCCCAGGGCACCUGUAUCACAUUAUGUAAAUGCAGCCACUUCUGCCCUAAGUUGUUGUUUACUCUUGGAAUGUGAUUACAAGCAGGUACUGGUCCUGAAUUGUUUUGUUUUCUGAGAAGAUCAACACUUGAAAAUGGUAACAUCAACAAUUAUCCUUAUGCAAGACUUUUUUUUGUUGCUGUUACAGUGCAGUGAAAGCUUAUUAUAAUAACUUUGUAUUGACCAAAUUCUCAUCUUUUUAAAUUUAAAUGCUCUGCCAGAAUGAGAUGAAUGAGUAGAUUAUUCAAAAUACAACACACGCACAAGUUCUCAUCAGUCUUUACUUUGGCAGACAGUGCUUACACGCAUCUAAAAGCAUACGGAGCAAAACUGUCCCCAUUUGGUUGGAAAUGCCAAACGGCAUUUGACAAACAUUAAUUUGUUUUCAUCUCAUUGUAGUGCAAUAUUUUAUUUGCAAGAUGCUCAGACCUAAUUAAAAAUAUUUUGGACUUAUUAAAAUCUCAUGGAAAAUAUCAGACUCCUUUAAUUGUGAUCUGAGAAACCAAGAAUCCGG